ACUCUUGAAAGUUUCUUGAGAAUAUUAUUAGUUUGAGAGUAUCGCAACUACCCCUUUUUUCCCAAUUCAAGUUACAUGAAGAUGGAGUUUUUUAGGUUUUUUUAUAAUAAAUAACACAACUUGUUUUAGUAUUUUACAAGAUGAUAAGCUCUUUAGCUUCAUGGUAUCAUAAUUGUUAUUCUUGAUUUAAAGUUUAUUAAAGUCGAAACAUUAUUAAUUUUAUAAAUAUCAUGAUUGAUACUCUUGAAUGGAAGUUUCUUGAGAAUAUUAUUUUUUGAGAGUAUCAAAAUUAAAACCUUCUCCAAUUCUAGUUUGUGAAGUUGAAGCUUUAUCAGCUUCUUGAAAUAACAUGAUUCAUUUUAGAAUUUUGCAAAAUGAGAAACUUCAACUUAAAGAUGUCAUAGUGAUGCUCUUUUAUUAAAGUAUCAUAAGAUUGAAAUUCCAUCAGGUAUAGAAUGUGAUGAGUUAUUGAUUAAUAUUCUGAAUUUGGAGCUACAUAAGUUGAAAUUGUCUAACUCAAGUGUUUCACAAAAAAUACUAUUUCAGUUCAAAGUUUCGUGGGACUAUAAUUCUUCUAAUUUUCAAAGUAUCAUGAUUGAUACUCCAAAUAGAGUUUCAUAUGCGGAAACUCUUUGACUCUGUAAUUUCAGAGUAUCAUAAUGAUUGUGUUUUAGUAUAGAGCUUCAUGAACUUACAACUCUUAUUGAUCUUAGAGUAUCAAAAUUGAUAUUUAAAGUUUCAUAAGUUGAAACUCUUUGACUUAGAACUCUUAUUAAUUUUAGAGUAUCCUGAUUGAUACUAUAAUAUGAUCAGUACUCCAAAUUAUAUUUUGGUGGAACUCUUUAACCUAAGAUUACUAAAGAAACCAAACAGAUAUCCAAUCUUAGCAUAGAUUUCAUCAUGCAGCUGUAAAGCACAGUUUUUUUCGAAAAUGCAUGUUAUUGAAAGGAUCAGUAAGAUUUGAGCAAUCAAGUCCAAGCUGUAUAGAACCCUAGCAAAGUACAAAAUUCUUUCCCAUUUUGAAGGGGAACCUGCCAUUUGGGUUGAAAAAAUUCCAUUUCACAUAUUACAUACUCAAAAAGAUGUUUCCCGUUUAUCAAAGGGCUGAAGGAAAGUUGUAGCUGCAGGAAAGAAUUGAUCUGCACUUAUCAGCAUACUUCAUUUCCUUUUAUUAUUUGUUAUUUGCUAGACCAUGCUAUGCAAAUAUUUCAUAGAUACAUAUCAAUAUCUCAUACUCUUCUGCUGUAACCUAGGCAUGAAAAUUUUAACGUGUGUCACCCUGGUAGAAUACAGGCCUUCAUGUCUCUAUCACAGUAUGUCAAUAUGUGAUGUGAAUAUACAUUUAAUUAUUUUCUGAAAUAUUGGUCAUUGGUGCACACAAAGGUAAUUCUGUUCAAGGAAAUAUCAAUAUGUUGAGAUUCAUAUAUGUUAGCAGGUGUUAUAUAUUUAGCAGAUAACCCACAAUUCAAUUCUUUACUCCUCCAUAAAGAGAUAGCAAGGUUGUUAAACCAAAGAAACAAAAUGUAACGAGAAAAUUAUUAGAUAUUGCAUCUGAGGAUUGGUCUUUAAUAUUUAAAAACUUCAUCAAGAAAGGAAUUGACAGGGAACAAAUAUAAGUUUGGG
rnacentral:lncRNA from 1 species